UGAAUCACACUAUCCAUUUGUACAGCGCUCAGACACAUAAACCCCUCUCUCUUUAUUCCUAUUUUUGAUGAUGGUCUAUUCUACGUUACCUUAAUCCAUGCUCAGCCGCUGACGCUUGACAAGGCUAAGAGAGUCUAGGUGAAUCCACCUUUCAUCAUGAAAGGUGAAGCCAACCUUCAUCUUUAUUGGAGUGAGAACUUAACUCCAGGUAAUUUGUGACCUAAAUCCAUGGAAGGAUCCUUAGCCAGGCGGAACUAAUUUAGCCAGAAUGACUUCUACCUUUCCUGGCUAAUAGCCCUGCCAAAAGAGGAGAGGAUUUUUGAAGUUUGAUGUCCUGUCACGAUAUUGAGGAGAGGCUGCGUGGGAACGAAGGCAGAUGAAUCUGAUGACCUUUUUCAGGCAGACCCCUGCGGGAAGGGGAAGUGAGGAGGCUUAAUGCAUCAUUCUCAUUCCAUGCAGACUUCUAUCAUUGAAGCAGGACCAGAUCCUAUUACACACGAGUCAAUGAAGUCCCUGAACUUUUAACAUGUCUUUGCUUCCUUGGCUGUUAAUACAUCCAAUACAUCUGAUACACUCCCCCAGGUUUCUGGAUGCAGUCCAUCUCCUAACUCAACUCCUUCAUCAUGGCUGCUAUUAAUUCACUGGUUAACAAACAGGGUUGGGAGGGUUACUUUAAAAAUGUGUUCCAUUACACUCUACUGAUUAUCUAUUAAAAAUGUAUCUCUACUCUAAUCCAAAAGAUUAUUAUAUUAUAGUAACUUAAUAUUACUUUUCUUUGUGAUUGCUUGUUAACAUGUUAAUUGCCAAAGUGUUUUGUAAAAUUGGUCCUCUACAAUGCCAGCUUGUAUGGCCAUCAACAAGCUCUAACUUUGUUUUUUCUGUGCAGACUUACGAACAGCUCAGCAGAUGUGUAAAAGUUGUUCAUAUAACCAGCAGCCCAGCAUUGCCUUGCAUAUUGAAUGGUUUGGCAUUGAUGAAAACAAAGUUCUUUAUACCAAACAUCUAAAUGUACUUUAAUAAAAACACAGCAGGAGAUCAUAGUCUCAUCUAUUUUAAAAUUUAAUUUGAAUCUUUAUUUUCUCAUCUGGUAAUAGUUGCGGGACUAACAUUCAAUGCCAGUGACUGGUAGUCAGUAAUCUUACACAAAAGAAAAAAAAAAUCUAACACAAAAACAAAUUUUGUGUUACUGUUGAAAAAAAGCCCAUGUCUACAUGAAACAAAUACCCUGUUCUCAAUUGACAAAGCUAUUAGUGCUAGAAUUGCAUUGUGUUUGUUAAUGAAAUCUAAGAAAGGCAUGAACCACACCAAAAAGGUCUCACAUGUCUGUUUCCAGUCACAAAUUCAAGGGAAUGAAGAAAGAGCCAAAUUGCAUCCAGAUUGGGAACACAAUGCUUGGUACACAUUGUAAGCCUUUAAAUAAACACAGGACACACUCAUUGCUGAUAAUGUUGCAUUGCGACAACAGUGACGGGAACCCUUCACUUGUGUUGGAACAAUUGAAAAAAGGGAGAAAAAGAAGAAAGAAAAAUACCUUGUUAAGUUACUAGUAAUCACCAUACUUUUAAAUGUACCAGUAAUGUAAAUACUGACUUUUAUUUGUAACUGCAAUGGAAUAAUGCAUACCUUUGUGUAUCCUGAUUACGUAAUGCUGUUACAUGUGUUCGGAUAUAACAAAUGCCGUGAACACAACAAUGGCUCUCAUUGUCCUUUUGCCUCUACAUCAGAGGAGAGCCAAUCUGCUGUUC